CCCCGACUGAGCGCAGUCCGUGCACCGCCACUGCAUCCCGCUCCCAGUGCCUACGUCCGGCUGCUUUCGUUGCCACCAUGCCCAAGAGAAAGGCUGAAGGGGAUGCUAAGGGAGAUGAGGCCAAGGUGAAAGACGAACCACAGAGAAGAUCUGUGAGGCUGUCUGCUAAACCUGCUCCUCCCUCCAAAGCCAGAGCCCAGGCCUAAAAAGGCCACUGCAAAGAAGGGAGAGAAGGUACCCAAGGGAAAAAGGAAAAAGCUGACACUGGCGAGGAGGGGAAUGACUCUAUGGGAAGUGGAGAUGCCUGAACACACCAGGCAC
rnacentral:lncRNA from 1 species